GGGGUGGUAGCUCAGACCGGGAGAGCGUCCGGCUGAAGACCGGGAGGUCGUGGGUUCAAGUCCCACCCACCCCA
rnacentral:tRNA from 1 species